UAUAAUAAGGAGAUAAUGAACAACUUUCAAGUAUAAAAGUAUAUAUAAAGAUCACAUGCUGUGGAGACACAGGAAGAGAAAUACAGAUUUGAGGAGAAAAAGAAACACAGAAUUCUCAGGACCUACAAAGAAAAAUAUUUGUACUACUUGAACGUUAUUGAUGCAAGCUAUUGGUAGAGGAAGCUGCAAGUGAAAAGACUGUGAGGCCAAGAACAUGCAAAAUAUGUUCAAGGAACAGCAAGAAAUCUGGCAUGGCUGGAGCAGAGAGAAGCACUGAUAGAGAGCAGCUGAGGAUGGAGGCAGCCAGAGGUCAGACCACGAAGCUUUGUAGAUCAUGUUUAUAUGAGCUUGAGGGUGACUUUAGCUUGGUUCAUCUGAGAAGGAUAUUUGAGCUGGAUACCAAAGCUGUGAUCUGAAGGACAAGAAGAACUUACCCAGACAUUGAGGAGAAGUCAUCGUGCUGUAUGUAAAGACACUAAUGAGAGCUGAAGUCUGAAGUAAUUGAAAAGAACUUUCCUUAUCAAAAUAAGAAGUUGGCAUGCCCCAAGUGUGGCAAACAUUGACUAAGAAAACAGGCUGUGGAUGGAAGGUGCUAUGUGGACUCACAAGGACACUUCAGACGAACUGCAUACUUGAAUUUGCAGCGCAGCAAGGAAUAGGCCUCCUUAAGGUACCUUUGUGGAAGAAGAGCUUCUUGCCUGGCCUGUCCAUCCCCUGAUCCAGCAUCGCAGCUGCUCCAGACACUUGGAU